UGUACUCAAGCUUUAAAAAUAACUCUGGUCAAUACGUGACAUAUCUGCAUUCUUUUCUGUAGUGGACGGAACACCAUUUUGUCCUCUAGAGUGGUAACAGGAGAUGUAGUAGUACUAGUGGAGAUGAAAAUGACGGGAGAAAUAAACAUUUAAUUCAAUGAACCUUUUUUUUUUGGUGAGGGGAGUGUCAAAAUUAAAAUUUUGAUACUGUAUUUAGUGGCAACAAGGUUAAGUUAGAAAAACCCUUUCUCGUCAUGUUGGCUAUUCUUCAAACAUUUCCUCCAAGCCCUACAAGUUGAUUUUUACCAUUCCAACUAUUUUGGAAUGCAUUUUUAAGUGUUUUUAAAUUUUAAUACCGAUGACAUGAAAAUUCAUCCACUUGGUUUAGAUGUUUGAUUUGUCACUAGGGAAGGGGUCUGCAAUCCAAAAUGUUGAAAGAGCAAUAUUGGACCAAAAAAGCAAAAAUUGUCUGGAGUCGCAAAAAAUUGUCUUAUGUAUAAGCCUUAUAAUGAAGGCAACACAUGGUGUAUGUGUCUAUAUUGGCUAUGUUAGCCUACUAUUAAAAUACAUAAAUGAGCCUUCAUGAUUAAAUGUUUAUUUUCCCUGCGGUGCACCCUAUAGAGAAUGACGCACCACGUGAGUACGUUGUUGUACGAUGCCGCCUCAAGUUUAACUUCAUCACAAUGUUAAUGAACUAGAAGAAUGGUUUGUGUCAUGUUUGUCCUACAGAAAACAAAAAUAUAUUUUCCUCCCCCAUCUUUUUCCAUUUUCAAACAUUCUUGAAAAAGUUCCAGGGAGUCACUAGGACAUCGCUAAAGAGCCACAUGAGGCUCUACAGCCGCAGGUUGCUGACUCCCGCAAUAGAGAAAAGUAUGCUGCAAAAAUUAUACUGAUUUUUAUCUGCAAAAGCUGUUUUUCUGUUUUGCUAUCCAGUUGAUUUGGGUGAAACUGACCCAUGUGCCACAUCCAUUUAAGAAAGAACAUAAUGAGGUAGAAACAUGCUUAUUUUUUUCUGGUGAAAGUCUACCCCGUUUACAUAGUUUUGAAAUAUCAGCCAAAAUGCUCAAAAUGGAUGCCAAUGCAGAGAUUGUCUUUUCUGAAAAUGGCUCCCAUUCAAAGUUAAAACAAAAACAAUGGUGGGAAGUGAUUUAUCCAAAUAACAUCAAAUAUACUUUAAUCUGGAUCUGAUCCAGAAUUACCAUCAGUGUAAACAGAACAACUCCGUUGAUCAUCAUGAAUCUGUCAUAACAGGUUUAGUGUCUGAGUGGAUCAUUCAUCGUGUUUGUAGUCCAUUAAAACGAUAGAUGACUUCAUAAUUUCAAGUGGUUGGCAAAGGUCUGCUCUCCUCCCUCACUACUUGUUUUUGUCGAUUGAUGGACAGUUGCGAAUGUCAGGCGGUUGCAGUGGAUAUUUAUACCUGAAAUCCGACCUGCAGUUGGUUGCCUGUCUUGUGUGGAUGUGUCCACAACCGCUCGGUUGGUUUGACCCAUUCGAGGCAGAACUGACACAAGAACAACACAAGAACAACUUGGGCCGCCAGAACCUCUGGAGACUUCACAGCGCGACACAAAGUCCUUCCCACUUCCUGCCUGCCUCUCUCUGACUGUUAUGUUAAGUAGCAGGCCUGCUUUCUGUCGGCUACUCGUGUCCUCCUUGGGUUUCAAUUCCAAACAUGGUGAUCCUUGUGGGGACUCCAUAUCAACACCCCCCCAAACUCGAGCCCUCACUCCCACUCCUCCUCUUCCUCCAGGCUUAUCCGCCCCCUCCAGCUGUUGUCUCUCUAGUGUUGGCCGGCAUUGAAACUGAAAGAGUCACUACCUGAGACAGAUACGGGACACAUAAUGAGAACAGGACUUCAAUCCAGAACCGUGAGAAAACCCUGAAGAACUUCACGAGGGAACAAACUUGGAUAUAUGACUCUGCUGCCCUUUUCUGACAUGAUUGAGCAGAAUGCUACUCUUCUGGAGAACCUAUUCUCCGCCCCGGUCUGCAAUGGCUGGACUAAUAAUACCGAAGGAGCCCUUUACCAUCUGGGCAACGCGUUUUUGUUCCUGGGCUAUAUGGGUGGCAGCGGAGCCUACGGGUGUCUCUUUAUCUUCGGCUUUCUGACCCCUUCCUUCUUGUGCCUGAUUCUGUGGAGCUGGAUGACGAUAUGCGGCCCUGACGCGGUCACCUGGAACCUCCUGCUGCUUCUGGCCUGCCUGAUGCAGAUCUGCCACCUUCUUUACCGCUUGCACAAGGAGGGCCUGCCCAGCGAAGAGCUGACUGACCUCUACCAGGCUGUCUAUCUCCCGUUGGGCGUGCCUGUCCAGGUAUUCAAGGAGAUCUCUGGUGCCUUCGAGAACAAAGUGCUAGAGAUGAAAGCGGGUGAAACGUACGCAGUGGAGGGCAAGACGCCAAUCGACAGGCUCUCGUUUCUGCUGUCUGGCAGGAUCAACGUAUCUCUGGAGGGCCAAUUUCUGCACUACAUCCACCGACACCAGUUCCUCGACUCUCCCGAGUGGGAAUCUCUCAGGCCCAACGAGGACGGAAAGUUUCAGGUGACUUUGACGGCAGAAGAGGACUGUCGCUAUGUAUCUUGGCGUCGCCGCCGCCUAUUCUCACUCCUGUCCAAGGAUCGUUACGUCUGCCGCCUGUUCGCCGUCAUGCUGGGCUACGACAUCGCCGAAAAGCUGUACAACCUCAACAACAAGCUGUACAUCAAGAGCGGCGUCUUACUGGACAUCCGCCUGCCCAGCCUCUACCACGUGCUGGCCCCAUCGUCGCAGAGCGGCGAGGGCGAGGCCCCCGACGGAACCGAGCGGCCCCCCCACAGGGAGCCUGACAACCCAACUGGACGCACGUGGCCCUCGGACCCCGAGCUGCCCUCCGGUGAGGACUCCACCAGCCUGGUCCUGGAGGAUUUUGCCGAUGUGGCGGGCUCCUUAACCGACUAUGGCAGUGAGAGGGAUUAUUUGAGGUAGAAGGGGCGCCAGGGGGGCCCGAGCUAACACACCCGCUCACCCGCUUAAGAUACAUGGGGCGAUGCUGGGUCCAGAGGAACAGCUCGCUUCCAGAGGAGCCGAGCACCAUUAGCGCCCACCGACACUCCCAAACUCUGAGCAGGCCUUAUUUUUUUUCAUUUAUUUGAAGACUUUCAGUUAUUUGGACCACAGUUUUCUUUUUUUAUUUCGUUUCACAAAUCACUUGUGCUAAUUUAGAAUUAUUUGUCCAAAAACAUGAUAGAAAUUGAGUGCUUCAUCUGUAAAUAAUCUAAAAAUAUGUUACUGUAGUUAGCCAUUAGCGUGUUACAACUAUUGAUCAUUUGGUAAUGGUAAUGGUGUUAUACUUGUAUAGCGCAUCAAUAUAAUGUGAAAUUGUCCAAUUAAAGUUUAUUUAUGACAACGGGGCCAACAUUUCUCCAAGCUUCCGUGUGUAGUGAAAAUUGUGGGACUGUCUAAUUCCUGGGACGCUUCAUGUAUAAGCUAUGGUUAGCUGCUAUUUUUUUUUAGCCAAUGUUACAUCAAUGUGUGUACAUUUGUGUGAAAUGACAACAAUAAACACACAUGCUAAGUUAGCGUCCACAACAGCAUCUGCUUUUCUGCAACGCUGCAUCUUCUCGCUGUCCUCAUUUUUCCUCAAUUGGUCACGACAGGUGGCGUCAGAAGAGGCCACAUACCAG